UGCGGGGCUUAAAGCUCGGCUGCUGUAACUGAGGCUGGAGAAUCAGACCUGCGUCAUGUGCGUUUUGCUGGACCUGGAGAUCGUUCCCAUUCAGCUGCGAUCUUAUGGAAGGUAGAAAAUGCUGUGAGACGGGAAAACCGGGCUUGCCUGCACUGACAAGAGUUGGGUCUGAAAGAAAUGCUGAAAAUAAAGAACUUUAUCACAAUACACACACAACAGGAAGGAUCUUUACCAGCCGUCACCAACUUCCCAGCAUCUUCUACCACUCCAGAACCGGCACAGGAGGUGAAACUCUGUAGGACUCAUGAAGAGUGGAGGACCAGCCCUGGGAAUAUUCUCCUGCAGCUCUGCCUCCCGCCAUCACCCAACUUUUCACACAUACUCCCAAAAAUUGAUGAUUUUGUUGAGGGAAGGUUACAGUUCUGCAGUAAAUAUGUCAGCAUUUUAAAACCAAAAUGAGCAGCCUUAUUUAGGAACCAACAGAUGUUUGUAC